GGUUUCCGUAGGUGAACCUGCGGAAGGAUCAUUGUCGAAAUCGAACGGAAGAACGACCCGCGAAUCGUCAUUGCGUACUAGACAGAGCCCGUGAGCACCUAACGCUCAUGGGACUCGCGUCGCGUCGGCGUGGGUGUACUCGAGACCAGCGUCGUACCGGCGGACAAACAACGUCAGCACGGAUCGUGCCAAGGAGCUGCAUGGAGAGAAUCGUCGUCCCACGCCUUUGAUAGUCCUCGAUGCGGGACGGGGGGCGGGGGAUGUACGCAAUCUCUACUAAAGUCUAAACGACUCUCGGCAACGGAUAUCUCGGCUCUUGCAUCGAUGAAGAACGUAGCGAAAUGCGAUACUUGGUGUGAAUUGCAGAAUCCCGCGAACCAUCAAUUCUUUGAACGCAAGUUGCGCCCGAAGCCAUUCGGCCGAGGGCACGCCUGCCUGGGUGUCGUGAAUCCCCUUGCCCCUAGGCACCCGCAUGAGCAUUGGCGGGGAUAUAUGCUCGGGCGCAGAAUAUGGUCUCCCGUGGGAUCGGCAUGCACGGCAUGUCGAGGUGCGGUUGGCCGAAAAUCGAGCAAUGGCUGUGACGGGCACCACGGCGUUCGGUGGAUCGAAUGAGAUUGGCUGCGCCGUGGGCUCGGCAUUAGGCGGGCUCCGGACUUUGAGUAUCCCCGAGU
rnacentral:rRNA from 1 species